GACAGAGGGGGCAAGCGUUGCUCGGAAUUAUUGGGCGUAAAGCGUCCGCAGGUGGCACUUCAAGUCUGUCGUCAAAGACUGGGGCUUAACCCUGGAAAGGCGGUGGAAACUGAAGCGCUAGAGUGCGGUAGGGGUAGAGGGAAUUCCCGGUGUAGCGGUGAAAUGCGUAGAGAUCGGGAAGAACAUCGGUGGCGAAAGCGCUCUACUGGACCGCAACUGACACUCAGAGACGAAAGCUAGGGGAGCAAAUGGG
rnacentral:rRNA from 1 species